AUACGUAUGUCGCAAGCGUUAUCCGGAUUUAUUGGGCGUAAAGCGCGUCUAGGCGGCUUAGUAAGUCUGAUGUGAAAAUGCGGGGCUCAACCCCGUAUUGCGUUGGAAACUGCUAAACUAGAGUACUGGAGAGGUAGGCGGAACUACAAGUGUAGAGGUGAAAUUCGUAGAUAUUUGUAGGAAUGCCGAUGGGGAAGCCAGCCUACUGGACAGAUACUGACGCUAAAGCGCGAAAGCGUGGGUAACAAACAGGAUUAGAUACCCUGGUAGUCCACGCCGUAAACGAUGAUUACUAGGUGUUGGGGGUCGAACCUCAGCGCCCAAGCUAACGCGAUAAGUAAUCCGCCUGGGGAGUACGUACGCAAGUAUGAAACUCAAAUGAAUUGACGGGG
rnacentral:rRNA from 1 species